rnacentral:rRNA from 1 species
GUAAUGCUUUGGAAUCUUCCCAGUAGUGGGGAAUAACCAGUCGAAAGAUUGGCUAAUACCGAUACGUCUGUAAGGGGAAAGCGGGGGCUCGUAAGACCUCGCGCUAUUGGAUGAGCCAAAGUCGGAUUAGCUAGUUGGUGGGGUAAUGGCCUACCAAGGGGACAAUCCGUAGCUGGUCUGAGAGGACGACCAGCCACACCGGAACUUGAGACAACGGUCCGGACUCCUACGGGAGGCAGCAGUGGGGAAUAUUGGACAAUGGGGGAAACCCUGAUCCAGCGACGCCGCGUGUGUGAAGAAGGGCUGCGGGUUGUAAAGCACUUUUAGUGGGGACAAAAAGCUACGGACUAAUAUUCUGUGGUCUUGAUUUAACCCAAAGAAAAAGCACCGGCUAACUCUGUGCCAGCAGCCGCGGUAAUACAGAGGGUGCGAGCGUUAAUCGGAAUUACUGGGCGUAAAGCGCGCGUAGACGGUUUUGUAAGUCAGAUGUGAAAUCCCUGGGCUCAACCUGGGAACUGAUUUGAAAUGCAUGGUAGAGUAUCGAAGAG